UGUCUUUUUGAUUAUAAUUUAAAGUCUAAUCUGCCCACUGAGGAAUUGAAUGGCCGCGGUAUUUUGACCGUGCAAAGGUAGCAUAAUAAUUAGUUUUUUAAUUGGAAGCUGGAAUGAAUGAUUGGAUGAGAAAAUUACUGUCUCAAAUUAAUUUAUUUAGAAUUUUAUUUUUAAGUUAAAAAGCUUAAAUUUUAUUAAAAGACGAGAAGACCCUAUAGAGUUUAAUAAAUUUUUAUUAUUUAAAUUAAUGGUUUUUAUCAUUUAAAUUUAUAUAAUUUAUUUUGUUGGGGUGAUAGAAAAAUUUAAUUAACUUUUUUUAAAUUUUUACAUUAAUUUAUGAAUAUUUGAUCCAUUUUUAGUGAUUAGAAGAUUAAAUUACCUUAGGGAUAACAGCGUAAUUUUUUUUAAGAGUUCUUAUCGAAAAAAAAGAUUGCGACCUCGAUGUUGGAUUAAAGUUAAUUUUUGGUGUAGAAGCUAAAAAAUUAGGUCUGUUCGACCUUUAAAACUUU
rnacentral:rRNA from 1 species